GAAUCAAGCGAACGCUUCUGAAAUUGAGGCUCAAGGCUACAGUAUCAAGUUAUAUUCGAUGCCCUAAAGCUCUAUGUAAAUAUAAUCAGUUUUUGAGACGAUGAUUAAAAUAAUUAGGUGGCAGCAGGAUACGAGCUCGUUAAGUUUUUCAUAAGAAUUGAGAAACUACGUUUAUGUAGAAGGAAGAUAAUAUUUUCUAUUUAAGAUAAAUAAUGUUGAAAGUAAGCGAAGGUUUACUCAAACGAGGCAAUCAGUAUUAUGAAUGGCGGGUUUGAAGUGUGCUGUUGCUCAAGACAAUUGGGAAAUUACAUUCGUGUACAACUGAGAAAAUAUACCAUAUGGUAGAAGCGAAAGAAAUGUUCGAGAUAAAUUCCGGUAUGCGCAGAAUUGAUGUCGCGAGAUUAUUGUGAAGCUGAUAGAGUAAAUAAUAGAAUCUGUGAUAGGUAUGUUUAACUUGGAAUCGUCGGUGUACUUGUUCGAAAUACUCUGCAAACGUCGUAUUGCAAGAUUAAGAAACAACGUGCACCGUUUACGACGCAGAAUAUCCACUUCAACCCUAACGUUUCUUUCGCUCUUUCGAAACGUUUAGAAACACGAUCCCCUAAUUAUUUGGAGCUGAUGCAGUUGCUUCGCGAAAAAAUUAUAUGGAAGAGAAAAAAAAGAACGCGGUUAGACGACUCGCAACAUCGCGCAUGAAACCACAACACUGGGUCUCGUAUUACAUUCACAAGGUCUUCUAUCGUUAUAAUGCAAAUUUAUGUUGAUACCGCGAAACAGAGAAAAAAAAAAAACUAACGGACAUACGAAUGUUCCACGUUAUCACUAUUUUAAUACGUUUAAACGACUUACUCUUUAAAUAUGCAAAUUAGCUUUAACGUUCGAAUAAUUAUCUCGUUCGAUUACGCGCACCUUUGCCGAGAUUAUUCAGUGUAUCACAUAUUAGUGUCGGGUGAAAUUUGUUAUUAAAAUUUGCUGAGAAAAUUGUUCAAUUUAUGUACACGGUAUGCUAUUGGUUCGCGUACAAUGACUUUGUGCUCUUUUUCCCAACGGGAGGCAAGCAACGCAACGCGAAGUUAAAAUGUUCGUAAAUUAAUCUUGUCGAAUCAACGUUGCAAAGUUAAAACGGUGAACCGUUUAAUUGCACCAGCAGGCAAUUUAACCUAAUUGGUUUUUAUUACUCUUUUCGAGCAAUAUUUUUAACUAGCUGAACGAACGACUACAUAUAUAGGUCGAGGCUGACGGUUUUCAGCACGUUUUAAAAUGUGAUCCUCGCGUUUCAAUUAUACACGUAUAUACACAGAGAAGGGGGACGGACGGUGGUAUGGUGAAAAGAACAGUUGUUGGCCGAGGCGGACCGCGGGUGAAUGGAAGCUAUAUAAAACCGAGUAAAAAGGCGCAAACGAACAAACUACAAAUUGCUCUAGCGGCUGUGUGUUGGGGUAAGGAUAAAGCGUAGUACAAAAACUUGGUUGGCACGAGCGAGGAGAAAAAAAAUGGACAGUCCGCGAUGGGUCUGGAGAGAAGGAUCGGUGUAUGUAUGUCUGCACUCGACUCACGAUCAGGCACGCACUCAUACACGCGUGGUAAAAUCCGUCAACAGAUGCAACACCGCCUAAGAGGGAGAGUAGGUAGGCAGUGGACAGGUGCGGAAGGCGAGUAUGGCAAAGCCGUCGAUAAUGUCCUCCUCGAAGGGAGGCUCCUUCUGGUUGGCAGCCGCGAGGGAAGACUUCUUACGA